UACGAAGGGGGGCUAGCGUUGUUCGGAUUUACUGGGCGUAAAGCGCACGUAGGCGGUUUGUCGCGUCGGCUGUGAAAGCCCGGAGCUCAACUCCGGGUCUGCAGUCGAUACGGGCAGACUUGAGUGUUGCAGGGGAGACUGGAAUUCCUGGUGUAGCGGUGAAAUGCGCAGAUAUCAGGAGGAACACCGGUGGCGAAGGCGGGUCUCUGGGCAACAACUGACGCUGAGGAGCGAAAGCGUGGGGAGCGAACAGG
rnacentral:rRNA from 1 species